rnacentral:rRNA from 3 species
UUAAGCGACUAAGCGUACACGGUGGAUGCCCUGGCAGUCAGAGGCGAUGAAGGACGUGCUAAUCUGCGAUAAGCGUCGGUAAGGUGAUAUGAACCGUUAUAACCGGCGAUUUCCGAAUGGGGAAACCCAGUGUGUUUCGACACACUAUCAUUAACUGAAUCCAUAGGUUAAUGAGGCGAACCGGGGGAACUGAAACAUCUAAGUACCCCGAGGAAAAGAAAUCAACCGAGAUUCCCCCAGUAGCGGCGAGCGAACGGGGAGCAGCCCAGAGCCUGAAUCAGUGUGUGUGUUAGUGGAAGCGUCUGGAAAGGCGCGCGAUACAGGGUGACAGCCCCGUACACAAAAAUGCACAUGCUGUGAGCUCGAUGAGUAGGGCGGGACACGUGGUAUCCUGUCUGAAUAUGGGGGGACCAUCCUCCAAGGCUAAAUACUCCUGACUGACCGAUAGUGAACCAGUACCGUGAGGGAAAGGCGAAAAGAACCCCGGCGAGGGGAGUGAAAAAGAACCUGAAACCGUGUACGUACAAGCAGUGGGAGCACGCUUAGGCGUGUGACUGCGUACCUUUUGUAUAAUGGGUCAGCGACUUAUAUUCUGUAGCAAGGUUAACCGAAUAGGGGAGCCGAAGGGAAACCGAGUCUUAACUGGGCGUUAAGUUGCAGGGUAUAGACCCGAAACCCGGUGAUCUAGCCAUGGGCAGGUUGAAGGUUGGGUAACACUAACUGGAGGACCGAACCGACUAAUGUUGAAAAAUUAGCGGAUGACUUGUGGCUGGGGGUGAAAGGCCAAUCAAACCGGGAGAUAGCUGGUUCUCCCCGAAAGCUAUUUAGGUAGCGCCUCGUGAAUUCAUCUCCGGGGGUAGAGCACUGUUUCGGCAAGGGGGUCAUCCCGACUUACCAACCCGAUGCAAACUGCGAAUACCGGAGAAUGUUAUCACGGGAGACACACGGCGGGUGCUAACGUCCGUCGUGAAGAGGGAAACAACCCAGACCGCCAGCUAAGGUCCCAAAGUCAUGGUUAAGUGGGAAACGAUGUGGGAAGGCCCAGACAGCCAGGAUGUUGGCUUAGAAGCAGCCAUCAUUUAAAGAAAGCGUAAUAGCUCACUGGUCGAGUCGGCCUGCGCGGAAGAUGUAACGGGGCUAAACCAUGCACCGAAGCUGCGGCAGCGACACUAUGUGUUGUUGGGUAGGGGAGCGUUCUGUAAGCCUGUGAAGGUGUGCUGUGAGGCAUGCUGGAGGUAUCAGAAGUGCGAAUGCUGACAUAAGUAACGAUAAAGCGGGUGAAAAGCCCGCUCGCCGGAAGACCAAGGGUUCCUGUCCAACGUUAAUCGGGGCAGGGUGAGUCGACCCCUAAGGCGAGGCCGAAAGGCGUAGUCGAUGGGAAACAGGUUAAUAUUCCUGUACUUGGUGUUACUGCGAAGGGGGGACGGAGAAGGCUAUGUUGGCCGGGCGACGGUUGUCCCGGUUUAAGCGUGUAGGCUGGUUUUCCAGGCAAAUCCGGAAAAUCAAGGCUGAGGCGUGAUGACGAGGCACUACGGUGCUGAAGCAACAAAUGCCCUGCUUCCAGGAAAAGCCUCUAAGCAUCAGGUAACAUCAAAUCGUACCCCAAACCGACACAGGUGGUCAGGUAGAGAAUACCAAGGCGCUUGAGAGAACUCGGGUGAAGGAACUAGGCAAAAUGGUGCCGUAACUUCGGGAGAAGGCACGCUGAUAUGUAGGUGAGGUCCCUCGCGGAUGGAGCUGAAAUCAGUCGAAGAUACCAGCUGGCUGCAACUGUUUAUUAAAAACACAGCACUGUGCAAACACGAAAGUGGACGUAUACGGUGUGACGCCUGCCCGGUGCCGGAAGGUUAAUUGAUGGGGUUAGCGCAAGCGAAGCUCUUGAUCGAAGCCCCGGUAAACGGCGGCCGUAACUAUAACGGUCCUAAGGUAGCGAAAUUCCUUGUCGGGUAAGUUCCGACCUGCACGAAUGGCGUAAUGAUGGCCAGGCUGUCUCCACCCGAGACUCAGUGAAAUUGAACUCGCUGUGAAGAUGCAGUGUACCCGCGGCAAGACGGAAAGACCCCGUGAACCUUUACUAUAGCUUGACACUGAACAUUGAGCCUUGAUGUGUAGGAUAGGUGGGAGGCUUUGAAGUGUGGACGCCAGUCUGCAUGGAGCCGACCUUGAAAUACCACCCUUUAAUGUUUGAUGUUCUAACGUUGACCCGUAAUCCGGGUUGCGGACAGUGUCUGGUGGGUAGUUUGACUGGGGCGGUCUCCUCCUAAAGAGUAACGGAGGAGCACGAAGGUUGGCUAAUCCUGGUCGGACAUCAGGAGGUUAGUGCAAUGGCAUAAGCCAGCUUGACUGCGAGCGUGACGGCGCGAGCAGGUGCGAAAGCAGGUCAUAGUGAUCCGGUGGUUCUGAAUGGAAGGGCCAUCGCUCAACGGAUAAAAGGUACUCCGGGGAUAACAGGCUGAUACCGCCCAAGAGUUCAUAUCGACGGCGGUGUUUGGCACCUCGAUGUCGGCUCAUCACAUCCUGGGGCUGAAGUAGGUCCCAAGGGUAUGGCUGUUCGCCAUUUAAAGUGGUACGCGAGCUGGGUUUAGAACGUCGUGAGACAGUUCGGUCCCUAUCUGCCGUGGGCGCUGGAGAACUGAGGGGGGCUGCUCCUAGUACGAGAGGACCGGAGUGGACGCAUCACUGGUGUUCGGGUUGUCAUGCCAAUGGCACUGCCCGGUAGCUAAAUGCGGAAGAGAUAAGUGCUGAAAGCAUCUAAGCACGAAACUUGCCCCGAGAUGAGUUCUCCCUGACCCUUUAAGGGUCCUGAAGGAACGUUGAAGACGACGACGUUGAUAGGCCGGGUGUGUAAGCGCAGCGAUGCGUUGAGCUAACCGGUACUAAUGAACCGUGAGGCUUAACCUU